GCCUCAUGACCCAGAUGAUUAGGGGUCCUGGGAGGGGCUGACCUUGCCUGCACCCGCCUCACCACCCCCACCCCGCAGAAACUCCAAACUUCACCGGCUCUGCGGGCUCUGUGACACCGAGCUGCUCUGUCCCCUUUGAUGGAGAGCAAACUGCAGCAUGGGGAGUGCUGUUCUGGCCCGCAUGCUGCCUCCCCUGCCCUGGGGAUGCCCUGCUGGCCGGGUGGCAUCUCCUGGCACCCAGUGCAUGUGGGUCAGGUGUCUGUAUCCGUCUAGAGCGGGAACGUGCUCCCCUUGUAAUUGGAAAUAACUUCCGGGGCCGCCAGGGCUCAGCGGUGGAGCGUCUGCCUUCAGCUCAGGGCGUGACCCCCGUCCGGGGAUGGAGUCCCCGCAUGGAGCCUGCUUCUCCCUCUGCCUGUGUCUCUGCCUCUCUCUGUGUGUCUCUCAGGAAUAAAUAAAUAAAAUCUUUAAAAAAAAAAAAGAACUGGGAUCCCUGGGUGGCGCAGCGGUUUGGCGCCUGCCUUUGGCCUAGGGCGCGAUCCUGGAGAUCCGAGAUCGAAUCCCACGUCGGGCUCCUGGUGCAUGGAGCCUGCUUCUCCCUCUGCCUAUGUCUCUGCCUCUCUCUCUCUCUCUCCCUGUGUGACUAUCAUAAAUAAAUAAAAAUUAAAAAAAAAAAAAGAACUUCUGGAUUAAGAGGGAAAAGGAGCAGCCUGUUCAGUGGGCAGGCUCGGAGCGCGGGAUGGUACAGAGCCGGGGCGGUCUCCCUCACUGGGCUGCGGAGGCUGAGGAACAGCCUGGAGGGGCAAAGGAGGAGCUCCCACCUCAGGGGCCUAGAGCCUCACCCAACAUGGAGCUGGGUUCUAGAAGGAUUCGAGUUGAGGCCUAUGUGUCCACAUGGAUGAAUAAUCAUUAAAUCUCUGUCCAGAAACACAAAGACCUCCAACUUUAAAAAGAGGACAAAACAGCUUUCAGCCACUGUGAAAAAAAAUAAAGUGUACGUGCAUUUAUUUAGAUGAAAAUCUCCAAAUGAUGAAGGGAAGCCAGGAACUCUAGUCGACAGAGGAGGCCGGCACUGCCGAGGAGACAAGCCGCUGACUGCGGGCGCCUCCCCCAAGGCCACCCACCAGGAAUCUUUGCUCCACCAAAACUCCGCCCGGGCCCAGUGUGGCAGGAGUCACUGCUCUGAGGACACUGAGGACAAUUCUUCACUCCCCUGCCCCCCGGUGCUGAAGGUCAUGCAAGAGCCCCCAAGGGAGGUCCACCCAGAAGCCCCCACGUGUCUCCUCUGAGUGGGUUCCCAUUCAGAGCCCCCCC
rnacentral:lncRNA from 1 species